rnacentral:rRNA from 1 species
GAAUUCACUAGUGAUUCAGGCCUAACACAUGCAAGUCGAGGGGUAGAACACUUCGGUGUUUGAGACCGGCGCACGGGUGCGUAACGCGUAUGCAAUCUACCUUGUACAGGGGAAUAGCCCAGAGAAAUUUGGAUUAAUGCCCCAUAGUAUAUAACCUUCGCAUGUUGGUUAUAUUAAAGUUCCAACGGUACAAGAUGAGCAUGCGUCCCAUUAGUUAGUUGGUAAGGUAACGGCUUACCAAGACGAUGAUGGGUAGGGGUCCUGAGAGGGAGAUCCCCCACACUGGUACUGAGACACGGACCAGACUCCUACGGGAGGCAGCAGUGAGGAAUAUUGGUCAAUGGUCGCAAGACUGAACAAGCCAUGCCGCGUGCAGGAAGACGGUCCUAUGGAUUUAAAGGGCUUUUAUACAGGAAGAAACCCUCCCACGGGGGAGCUGAC